AGAGUUUGAUCCUGGCUCAGGAUGAACGCUAGCGGCAGGCCUAAUACAUGCAAGUCGGACGGUCCCUUCGGGGAUAGUGGCAAACGGGUGCGUAACGCGUAAAUAACCUGCCCCAAACUGGGGGAUAGCCCGGCGAAAGCUGGGGUAAGCCCGCAUGGUCUUUUUGCCUCACCUGGGGCGAUCAGUAAAACAGCAAUGUGGUUUGGGAGGGAUUUGCGUCUGAUUAGCUAGUUGGCGGGGUAAUGGCCCACCAAGGCGAUGAUCAGUAGGGGCUCUGAGAGGAGGGUCCCCCACAUGGGCACUGAGACACGGGCCCAACUCCUACGGGAGGCAGCAGUAGGGAAUAUUGGGCAAUGGACGCAAGUCUGACCCAGCCAUGCCGCGUGCAGGAAGACGGCCCUCUGGGUUGUAAACUGCUUUUAUCAGGGAAGAAGAGCACUGAUGCGUCAGUGUGUGACGGUACCUGAGGAAUAAGCACCGGCUAACUCCGUGCCAGCAGCCGCGGUAAUACGGAGGGUGCAAGCGUUGUCCGGAUUUAUUGGGUUUAAAGGGUGCGUAGGUGGCCUUUUAAGUCAGCUUUGAAAGCUGGUCGCUUAACGAUCAGGGGUGGGUUGAUACUGGAAGGCUUGGAUCAGGUGGCGGUUUCUGGAACGGGUCGUGUAGCGGUGAAAUGCAUAGAUAUGACCCAGAACUCCGAUUGCGAAGGCAGGAGGCUACGCCUGGAUUGACACUGAGGCACGAGAGCAUGGGGAGCAAACAGGAUUAGAUACCCCCGUAGUC
rnacentral:rRNA from 1 species